rnacentral:rRNA from 1 species
CCUACGGGAGGUUGCAGUGGGGAAUUUUGGACAAUGGGCGAAAGCCUGAUCCAGCCAUGCCGCGUGCAGGAUGAAGGCCUUCGGGUUGUAAACUGCUUUUGUACGGAACGAAAAGACUCUGGUUAAUACCUGGGGUCCAUGACGGUACCGUAAGAAUAAGCACCGGCUAACUACGUGCCAGCAGCCGCGGUAAUACGUAGGGUGCAAGCGUUAAUCGGAAUUACUGGGCGUAAAGCGUGCGCAGGCGGUUAUAUAAGACAGAUGUGAAAUCCCCGGGCUCAACCUGGGAACGGCAUUUGUGACUGUAUAGCUAGAGUACGGCAGAGGGGGAUGGAAUUCCGCGUGUAGCAGUGAAAUGCGUAGAUAUGCGGAGGAACACCGAUGGCGAAGGCAAUCCCCUGGGCCUGUACUGACGCUCAUGCACGAAAGCGUGGGGAGCAAACA